rnacentral:rRNA from 1 species
UACGUAGGGGGCUAGCGUUGUCCGGAAUCAUUGGGCGUGAAGAGCGUGUAGGCGGCCCGGUAAGUCCGCUGUAAAAGUCAAAGGCUCAACCUUUGAAUGUCAGUGGAUACUGCCGGGCUAGAGUCCGGAAGAGGCGAGUGGAACUCCUGGUGUAGCGGUGGAAUGCGCAGAUAUCAGGAAGAACACCAACGGCGAAGGCAGCUCGCUGGGACGGUACUGACGCUGAGACGCGAAAGCGUGGGGAGCGAACAGG